rnacentral:tRNA from 1 species
GGCGUUUUACAGUGAGGGGCGGUCUUGAAAACCGUUAGGGUGCAAGCCCACAUGGGUUCGAAUCCCAUCCUCUCCGCCA